GAGAAUUCUUUCGUUUGUACUAGGAUCCGAAAGAAAAAUCCCUGCGCUUUCUGUCUUUGUGGCAGACCAGAUUGAAUUGAGGAAUACAUUU
ensembl:snoRNA